rnacentral:lncRNA from 1 species
CGCAACGUCACCCGGUUGUCACCCAGUGUCACCUGGUUGUGUCACCCUGCAAUGUCACCCGGUUGUCACCCAGUAUCACCCGGAGGUGUCACCCAGUGUUGUCACCCAGCAGUGUCACCCGGUGUUGUGCUGUUACCCAACAAUGUCACCCGGUUGUCACCCGGCGCUGUCACCUGGUGUUGUCACCCACUUAUCACCCAGCGUCACCCGCUGGUGUCACCCGGCAUCGUCACCUGCUGGUGUCACCUGGCACUGUCACCUGGCACUGUCACCCGGCGGCGUCACCCCGCGGUGUCACCCCCACCCCCAGCCUGGCAUUGUCACCCAUUGUCACCCAUUGUCACCCGGCAGUGUCACCCCAACCCAACACCCCCCUGCAGCGGUGGUACCUUGGUAGGCGGUGUCACCCGGCAUCGUCACCUGUUGGUGUCACCUAUUGGUGUCACCUGGCGAUGUCACCCGGCGGCGUCACCCCGCGGUGUCACCCCCACCCCCAGCCUGGCAUUGUCACCCAUUGUCACCCGGCAGUGUCACCCCAACCCAACACCCCCCUGCAGCGGUGGUACCUUGGUAGGCGGUGUCCCACGGCGCGGUGACGUCAGGCGCUGGUGGCUCGCUGGGGGCUGUGGGGGUGUCACCGGCUGUCCCCAUUUGUCCCCACAUUGUCCCCGUUUGUCCCCACAGUGUCCUUGCUUGUCCCUGUUUGUCCCCAGGGGUCCCUGUCUGUCCCCAACGUGUCCCCAUCCGUUCUCACGGUGUCACCAGGGUGUCCCCAUUUGUCCCCAUGUGUCCCCAUUUGUCCCCAUUCAUCCCCAGCUGUCCCUGUCCGCCCCCAUUUGCCCUCAGCUGUCCCCAAAGCGUCCCUGUUUGUCCUUAAAGUGUCCCCUAAGUGUCCCCCUCCAUCCUCGGGGUGUCCCCAUCCAUCCCCAUUCAUCUCCAGCUGUCCCCAUUUGUCCCCAGUGGUCCUCGUUUGCCCCCAAAGUGUCCCCCUCUGUCCUCAGGGUGACUCCAGGGUGUCCCCAUCCGUCCCCAUUCAUCCCCAGGUGACCCUGUCCGCCCCCAUUUGUCCCCAGCUGUCCCCAAAGCGUCCCCGUUUGUCCUUAAAGUGUCCCCAAAUGUCCCCCUCCGUCCUCGGGGUGUCCCCAUCCAUCCCCAUUCAUCCCCAUUUGUCCCCACCUGUCCCCCUCUGUCCUCAGGGUGACUCCAGGG